GAUGAACGCUGGCGGCGUGCCUAAUACAUGCAAGUCGAGCGAACGGACGAGAAGCUUGCUUCUCUGAUGUUAGCGGCGGACGGGUGAGUAACACGUGGAUAACCUACCUAUAAGACUGGGAUAACUUCGGGAAACCGGAGCUAAUACCGGAUAAUAUUUUGAACCGCAUGGUUCAAAAGUGAAAGACGGUCUUGCUGUCACUUAUAGAUGGAUCCGCGCUGCAUUAGCUAGUUGGUAAGGUAACGGCUUACCAAGGCAACGAUGCAUAGCCGACCUGAGAGGGUGAUCGGCCACACUGGAACUGAGACACGGUCCAGACUCCUACGGUAGGCAGCAGUAGGGAAUCUUCCGCAAAGGGCGAAAGCCUGACGGAGCAACGCCGCGUGAGUGAUGAAGGUCUUCGGAUCGUAAAACUCUGUUAUUAGGGAAGAACAUAUGUGUAAGUAACUGUGCACAUCUUGACGGUACCUAAUCAGAAAGCCACGGCUAACUACGUG
rnacentral:rRNA from 1 species